UACGGAGGGGGCUAGCGUUGUUCGGAAUUACUGGGCGUAAAGCGCGCGUAGGCGGCUUUGUAAGUCAGAGGUGAAAGCCUGGAGCUCAACUCCAGAACUGCCUUUGAGACUGCAUCGCUUGAAUCCGGGAGAGGUGAGUGGAAUUCCGAGUGUAGAGGUGAAAUUCGUAGAUAUUCGGAAGAACACCAGUGGCGAAGGCGGCUCACUGGACCGGCAUUGACGCUGAGGUGCGAAAGCGUGGGGAGCAAACAGG
rnacentral:rRNA from 1 species